rnacentral:rRNA from 1 species
UACAGAGGGUGCGAGCGUUGUCCGGAAUCACUGGGCGUAAAGGGCGCGUAGGCGGCAUGCUAAGCGUGCGGUGAAAGCUCAGGGCUCAACCCUGAGUCGGCCGUGCGGACUGGCGAGCUAGAGCACGGUAGAGGCACAUGGAAUUCCGGGUGUAGCGGUGGAAUGCGUAGAGAUCCGGAAGAACACCGGUGGCGAAGGCGGUGUGUUGGGCCGUUGCUGACGCUGAGGCGCGACAGCGUGGGGAGCAAACAGG